UUUUCUUCUGCAGGUCGGUCGUAGAGAUAGAGAUACAACUCUCUGUUCGUCAAAGUCUCUCUGAAAUUCUAGGUUUUCUUCUCAGGUCUUUUUCUUCCUCUUUCAGAUAUGCGAUCAACAAUACAACUCAUUUGUAUACUUCAGCUCCACUCACAGUUCUAGUAAAAAUAUGCAAGGUCAAUUAUUGGAUUUGAAUAUUGAAUAUAUAUGUGAAACCAUCACUGUCAGAUUUGAUUAUUCUUGUAAAGAGGAAUUCACAGUAGAAACAAGAAGGCGAAGGAGUACAUAGCCAAAUGUUGGAAUUCUUUGAAGGAAAUUGAUAGAGUAAGGGAUUAUUGGGACUACAAUGACGUAAAGUUGAUUCCUUUCUUACGGAUGGGCUGUUUUAUUGGUUGAAGCUACAUCAUGGGUAGAGUUGAUAAUAAAUAUGUUCAGUCGGAUCAUCAAGCAUUCUAUUAUUUGGAGAAGGCUAUUGAUAAGUAUUGAGUAUUAAUGACAGUAUUGAUGACUGGCUGUAGUAUCUAAAGCUCUAUUUUUGGAUUUAAUUCAUUCCAGGAUCCAAGAUGAAGCUGGUGUCCAAGAAGAAGAUUAGUGGAUGACAACCAUUGUAGUUUUGUUCAAAAAUUUUUUUUUUUUUGACAAC